UAGCUCAGUUGGAUAGAGUACCUGGCUACGAACCAGGCGGUCGGGAGUUCGAAUCUCUC
rnacentral:tRNA from 1 species